rnacentral:rRNA from 1 species
CCUACGGGCGGCUGCAGUAGGGAAUCUUGCGCAAUGGGCGAAAGCCUGACGCAGCCAUGCCGCGUGAAUGAUGAAGGUCUUAGGAUUGUAAAAUUCUUUCACCGGGGAAGAUAAUGACGGUACCCGGAGAAGAAGCCCCGGCUAACUUCGUGCCAGCAGCCGCGGUAAUACGAAGGGGGCUAGCGUUGCUCGGAAUUACUGGGCGUAAAGGGCGCGUAGGCGGAUAGUUUAGUCAGAGGUGAAAGCCCAGGGCUCAACCCUGGAAUUGCCUUUGAUACUGGCUAUCUUGAGUUCGGGAGAGGUGAGUGGAACUCCGAGUGUAGAGGUGAAAUUCGUAGAUAUUCGGAAGAACACCAGUGGCGAAGGCGACUCACUGGCCCGAUACUGACGCUGAGGCGCGAAAGCGUGGGGAGCAAACAGGAUUAGAUACCCUUGUAGUC